UAUCAUAACAAGAACAGCUAACACAAAAUAAUUGUAAUCUAAUUAAAACAUUUAAUAAGCACCUCUGCUUAAUAAUUGUAAGCAUUUUUCAUGUCUUACAGUGGCAAGGAAUUACAAUGAAAUUACACACAUAUACAUAUCCAUACAUAUCAUCCUUUCCAAUUUGACAGAAUAUGGUGUGUCGGUCUCAGCAAAACAGGAGAUGUUAGGAACAAAGUGUGCCUCAUUUUAAAGUUAGGCCACAUGUUCAAGUCUGAUUUGAGAGGCUUUUAAUUUGACUCCUGUGGAUGUAUAUCGCUUUUCUGCCAACACCAACACAGGGAGAGCACACAGGCCUGCUUUACACAGUCUCUGAAAAAUAUGAGCUAGAUAGGGGUCACCCAUAUGAUUAUCUGAAAAUAGAAGCUGAGCAGGACCAGGGGCAAGUGCUUUAUGGAGGGCAUGCUGACAAGUGCAGGACAAUGAGAAAAACAGGAUAGGACAUGGGGAGGAGAGGGAAAGAGAUGAAGGCAAACAAACUGCUUUUGCCAUUAUUUGAAGAGAGGCUCUGGAAUAGGUUAUGCAGUAUGAAUUGGUUAUUCUUAAGGCAAAAAAAAAAAAAAUCAUUGUAGCUUGAACCCUCACCAUCAGGCAGACACUGGACACAAGUGCACAGGUUGGUAGGGAAGCUCUUCUAUGUGUUUGGUUGGAAGUGUCACCCCAGCCGCUGGCGUCCACGUGUCCUGGGAGUCUGAAAUGCAUCCCAGGCCCCCUCCUCUGGGAGUUGCCUCAGUUCAGACUCCACCUACGAGAAAGCAUCCAAAAGGUGACCUCUCCCCAGAGAGACUCAAGACCACGCCCACAGGGUAUUUAAACUACACCCCCCCCCCCAAACAAACACGUGGUCUUUCCAGUCUUCCUUUCCCCUCUCCGGUGGUUUUUUCCAGUCUUUCUGCCAGGAGCACUGGCUUCCAUUAAACUUGGGCCUUUUCUUCCGUGAUAUCUGUUAGGGUAAAAAAACAAAAACAAAAACAAAACAAAACAAAAAACAAAAAAAACCCCACAAAAACAAAACCUCGGCUUUUUCUAAUUCGGUUUGAUUUGGUCUGAUUUGGAUUACUGCAUCGACUGAGAGGCUUAACUUUUCAUCUCCAGAAGCUUAAAUGGGUCACGAUGAACUAUCACAUAAAAUGAAUUUCAACUUCACACUGAUUGGUAACCUUGUGAAUCAACCUCCAACAAAUGAGAAAGGGGAGGAACAGUUGAAAGAUCUCUGCACGCAGAUAUUGAACCUCUCAAACCGAAUUAAAGGUGAAAAGUCCAGAUUUAAUGAGUACGAGCUCCCGGAUGAUUUCUCGGCCACCCGAGAGAAGGGGGAAAGAGAGCAAUAAAAGCCAAAACCGGUCUCUAGGGGGACAGUUUAAAAGCCCUGUAGGUGUGGUCUUGAGCAUCUCUGGGGGGAGGAGCUGACCAAGGGCGGGUUUUCUCGUGCCUGAAAGGGUUUGAAGAGAGAUGGCGGGAGGGAGCGGGACCAGUAGAGUUUCCACCUGAACACCAGUCAUUUUACAAGCUUCGGCAUAAAAGGUGCUCGGCAGUAACAGUGAGCUAGCCCGCCAAUGCCUAGCAACUCUCGGGGCUGGAGGUUGGAUCGGGCGGCGGAUGUCUGCGGAAGGCUCGGUGGGGGUGGGACCGUGUCCUAGGUGACACCGGAAGGAUACCGCGAGCUUCUCAGGGGCUGCGACCUUCGCAAAGGCUUUUGGAACCCGGUCCGGUAUGGCUACUGAGGUUGCCGCUACUCCCUGGAGGCCGCAGGUCUGGUCCGAUCGGUCUCAGUGGAGAAGGGGGGACAAGGCGGGAUGUUGCGGUUCCUCUUUGUGAAUCAAGGCUAGAAACGUACAGCCACAGGAGGCUCAAAGAGACGGGAACUAAAAUGAAUAAGACUGAACGAACUCACGGCGACUGUUGAUGACGGCACACCGGGGUGUGUCGCUGUUUCCGGUGUGCUGAUCUCGGUGUUUGGUUUUGGUUUUUGUUUUUUUGUUUUAUUUAGGUUGUUGGCGGUCCGGGAGCAGCCGUCUGCAAGGAUGGACGCUGAAAGAUAAAGCGGAGAAAAGAUCUCGGAAGAAAGUGUUACUGGCCGGUACUCAUUAGGCCCUUGGUUUCAAAUUCAUUCGGCCUUAGGGAGGGGUCAGGACCUGGCAUGCUGGGAUUUGGAGUCCAGACCAAAGCAACACCCAGGUCAGAAGAGGACACCAGACCUCAUUACAGAUGGUUGUGAGCCACCAUGUGUUUGCCGGGAAUUGAACUCAGGACCUUUGGAAGAGCAGGGCAAUUCAUGUAUCCCUCCUAGGAUCCUACUUGUUGCCUAGCUUCUCUGGAGCUGUAGAUUGUAACCUGGUUAUCCUUUGCUUAACAUCUAGUAUUUCACUUAUGAAGCCUUCAUCUAGCAACUGAUGGAAACAGAUGCAGAGAUCUACAGUCACUGGCUGAGUGUUGAAGGUGCCAUGUUAGCCAAGCUCCAGUUGAAGAGAGGGAGGAGCAAUAAUAUGAACAAAGGUUCACAGUUCAACUCUGCUCCCAUGAAUCUGAUUGAGAUUUCUACAGCCUGUGAGAAGGUAGAGAAUUGGGCCUGGGCAGGCCUAGCUAUUGUCACGCCAUACAUAUUCCAUAUAUGCUGUUGCAAAUGAAAGAAUUCACUUUCUUGGGUGUGGCAGGUUACCAAUUUCUUAUCAUUUUCAUAUGAAAAAUUUCUGACUGGCGACAUCACUCAGUGGUAGAACUCCUCCUGCCUGACAUGUGCCUGGAUCUGUAUUCUAUUCAUAAGACCCAUAAUGUUUAUUUACUAUGUAUACAGUGGUCUGCCUGCAUGCCAGAAGAGGGCACCAUAUCUCACUAUGGAUGGUUGUGAGCCACCAUGUAGUUGCUGAGAAUUGAACUCAUGACCUUUGGAAGAACAGUUUGCCUGCAUACCAACUUUUACACAGUGCCCUUUGUAGCCAGAAGAAGGUGCCUGAUACGUGGGAGCCUGAAUUACAGGAUGCGUGAGCAACCAGAAGUAGUGCUGGGAAUCAAACCCAUGUCCUCUGGAAGAGCAGCCAGUGCUCUUAACUACUGAACCAUCUCUUCAGCCUCACCAUUGUUUUUUAAAAGAGCUGAGGGCACCUAUUGCAGCCCAGGACUUAAUGGUGUUUGUGACCCUGCAUGGCCCCCUCAAGAUGCCUGUUGGAGACUUGUUCUUUGGGGGCAGACCUAAUGUCUGGAGCUGGUGGCCCAAGGAAAAAUCCAACUCUGCACUGGUAACACGGAAGAAGCAGCAGAGUCGCAGCCUCGGGAACAGCUCGUCCAGAAGCUGGUGCUGUCAGAGUGGCAAGGCGGCCCGCCGCAAGGUACAAAAGUGGCAAGGCUGCCUCACAGCCAAAGGGUGGGCUGCUUAGACGUCUGAAAAGGCAGGAAAAUGUGGGUUGUGGAAGUAGGAAGGGCGGGGAGCUGAGGCUGAAGAGAGGUAGAAGAACGCUGUAAAGAUUCAGAGAAAAACCGAAGGCGCUGGUUGCUAGAAGAGUUCCAGCGAGCUGUCAAACCCCAGACACCCUAAGCCUCAAACUGGAACACCGGCCAGUGUCAAGGUCUGAGUCAUGCUGAUCCAUAGGCCAGCUGAAAAGCUAUAGUGCAAGUUGCUGCCCAGUGCUUUCCAGCUCUAAACAAAAGCAGUACCACUUGCAGAGCCGAGGGUCCUGUCCUGAUAGCAUGUGUCUUUAAUAUUAGUCACAGCAGUCCCUAGUUAGACCACCAGGGGGAGCGCUUCUCCCGGACAAUGUGGUAAUGAUCCUGAGCCAUUUAGAUAGAGUGCACUGCAAGUCAAAAAUUCUGGCGACUUUGCUUUAUCUUCUUACAUCUAUAUCUCUUUGGGACACUGGUUAAUCAAAAUCAGUUGAAAUUAUUACCACUGCUAAUGCUGAUUCACUUUUGUAGUUUUCUUACCUUUUUGUUUUGAGAGGCCUUGCUAUUUGGAUCAGGCUGGCCUGGAACUUUUUUAUGUUCCCCUAGCUAUUCCGGAAUUCACGAACCUAUUGCCUCAGCCUCAUGAGUGCCGGACUGGCUGGACGUGUUACCACACCAGGCUGUAGUGAGCUCUGAUUAUGAGCACUCCUUCUGAUGUUCAUUUUUGAUAAGCAGACAUUGGUGACAGCAGUCCCUAGCUAGACCACCAGGGGGAGCGCUUCUCCCUGACAAGGUAGAAAUGAACCUGAGCCAUCGAAAUAGAGUUCAGUGCAAAUCAAAAAUUCUCACGAACAUUUAAAAUGAAACAGAUGCUGUUAUUGUGGGGGACUCUUCCUUUCUUUAUAUUUUCAGGAUCCCCAAGGAAUCCAAUGGCCAGGUGAGGAAGCAGGCAUAGAUGCUGUAAGAAGUCACAGAGUUCUAUGACUCCUGGAACCAGAAUUCAUCUUGAUUGGAAAAUGAAAAAAAAAAAAAAAAGAUCAUCUUAAUUGUUUUUGAUGAAUGACUGUGGAUUGUGUGAUAAUUUUGACAAAUAUUACCUGAUUCUCUGCCAUUAUGUUUUAGCAUCCAAUAAUACUCUAAGCAAACUCAAUCUUUCCUAUUCUCAGUUAAGAUGAAGUGAACUAUUUCUACAUAGUAGUUUUUCUAUGUAACUGGAACAGAGAAGCAAAAAGUGCCAUGCACAAUUUUCUGUACACUAUUUCAGUUCAAUGACAUAUUUUCAUUGGCUCAAGAUUAUUUUUUGCAUAUUCCCUUUAAAAGAUCUCGUUUUCUACUUCUUUAAAAAAAUAAAGCAAAUGAUUUGAGAAAAGUAAAAAAAAAUUCUCACGAAUUUGCUUUAUCUCCUCACAUAGACAAUCUGUGGUAAUAAUCUGAACUGAUUUUGGUAAUUAACCAGUGCCACAGGAAGAUAUAUAUCAGUAUCAUGGGAAAUUCUUCAUAUGUUUAUUGGCUACAUGUAUGUAUUCCUUUAUUCAAGAAUUGUCUGUUGAGAGCUAUUCACUUGAAAACCGGGUCAUUUGUUAUCCUGCAACUGCGUUCUUUUUUUUUUUUUCACUCUUUUUUUCAGACAGGUUUUCUUUGUGUAACAGCCCUGGUGUCCUGGAACUCACAGAGACCCACCUGCCUCUGUCUCCCGAGUGCUGGAAUUAAAGGCGUGCGCCACCACUGCCCUGUGCAACUGGGUUCUUUAUAAAUUUUCCGCACCGGCCUCUUAGGUGAUGUGUGGCUUCCUCCUGACCCAGAUGUUGUCUUUUUACCCUGCUUUGCUAUGCUCUAGGGUUGUUCCUUUGCUGCGCUCCCAUUUUUCUCUGCUACUUCUUGGUCAGCUUAUUGGUUUUUUGGUUUUGUUUUUAUUAAAUCCUCCCCCUAAAAUAAUGUCAUGCUUUUCUCCAACCAUUUUAGGUCUCUUUUUUUCAGUUCCUGGUAUUUAUUUGACUGUACUAAAGUGGAAUUGUUUGUGAUGUCCUUGUGUAUGCUUGGAUGGUGGAACAAAGCUGGUCUUCUUAGAUUAAACAGAGGACUUUUCCUUCAGGCUUGCCUGUACCAGACAAGUUUAAGAUGAGCAAUUUUCCAUUUUCAAUUAAAAUCCCUUUCUGGGUUGUCAUUUACAGCGGGACUCGUUCCCAGUUAAGUCAUCAACAACAUGAAAUUUCUAAUUUCGGAUGAAUUAUGUAGGGAAAUAAAUUUGUGACAGACUAAUUGACAGAAAGGUUAAUUAUAAAAAGGAAGAAUGGAGAAGUGUGCUAGGCAGUGUUUUUCCUACCUACAGUAAACUCUCAGAAGAUAGAAUCAUUUUUCUAACUCAGGGACACAGAAUCAGAAAUGCAAUUGCAGCUGAUCUUUAUUUGGCAUCUCCUUUCACAGAUUGGCCUCCACCAGUUUCCUAGAAGGAGGCAGCGCACAAUUACACCAGCCCCUGGAACCUUCCCACCAGGGGACAUUUUCAUUAAUUGUAGACUUCCAUCGGCUCCCUGCCAAAUCUCUCCCCAGACAGAUGGCGAAACAAAUGAAAUUCAGCCCCAAACACACCGAUACACCAAAAACAAGCAAAGCAAAACACCAACAACAGAAGAACAUAAACCAGAACAUCCAGACUGGCCUACGUACCUGUUCUGCCUCUGUCUACGGAGCAGGAAAAUGCUAAGACUGAAGCCAUGCUUCAAGAACUGAGAACCUCCCCGGAAAUGCCAGGUUGGGAGUGAAAAAGGCCCUGUAGAAGAGCGCUUGUAUGCGGCACUAGGAGAAGUAUGGAUAUUUUCCUCUUCAGUCCUUGGCCUAAUGCACGCCUAUUCCCAUAGACUGUGUGAGGAGAUAAAGCAAACGAGGGGCAAGUUUUGACUUUGCAACGCUUUCUUCUGAAAGUAACUGUCAGAACACUUCCAUUCCUAUCUGAGACUGCUUUGGGAGCCCUGUGGUGCUGUACCUGCUGUGACAUUACCAGGUAGAAGAGAGACGCAGUGCGCGGGAUAGUUCUUCAGCUGUUGAGAUUCUAGUUCCCACACCACUGGUCCUCCCUGGAUUUGUCACCAGAGGGAUGGAUGUUUACAUCUUUUAGGAUGGGGAGAAAAGCAAAACUAACAGUUUUGAGACAUUAGAUGUUCUAAUCAGAAAUAUAUUGUAAUUUAGCUAAAUUCCUAUGAAAAUAUGAGGCCCUGAAAGAUCAGUUUGUUGUUUUGUCUAUCAGUUUGACUUAGCAAUGAUUUACUAGGCAUUGCCGGCAUUGUUUCAAGUAUGACUCCCCUAACUCCACA